CCUAUACUCCAAAUGAAAAAUUAGGACCACUGGACAGUGGUUAAGAAGGAGCAACAGGAAGGUCUCCAGAGAAAGGGAAGAAUCCUCAUCUCUACCACUACAUGCCGGAGAAUCAAUUCUCAAGAACAGUGCUUGGCACCUAACUCUUCUGAAACAGCACCUGGGGGCUCCUUAUUGUACAGAUGGGGAAAACUGCUUGAAGGGGGAGAACCCCAAGGAGAGAGAGCAACUCCUCCAGAAAGCAUCGCCACCAACAGCCCAACCAAGAAAAAGGGAUGGAAAAGGCGAUGCCCGUCUGGGGCGGCGUUGACUCACAACAGCUCGAAGAAAGCGGCUUUGACUGUUAGCCAGGGUUGACAUAGUCCCCUUCUGGAAAUAUGCUUACCACUUUUUUUUUCCUUGUGUAAAAGAACAUUUUUUGCGAGCCCAUGAAUGCAACCCUUGUUCUCCCUGGGAA